rnacentral:rRNA from 1 species
UACAUGAGCACAUUCUCAACUGUUUUAGAAGAGAAGCAUUUAUUAGAUAAAAAAUCAAUAUAUGUUUUUAAAGCAUAAAAGUUGGUGAUUUACAAUAACUAAGCAAAUUGCACAGUGCAAACUGGCAAUAAAUCAUUCAAGUUUCUGACCUAUCAGCUUUCGACGGUAAGGUAUUGGCUUACCGUGGCAGUGACGGUUAACGGGGGAUUAGGGUUCAAUUCCGGAGAGGGAGCCUGAGAAACGGCUACCACAUCUAAGGAAGGCAGCAGGCGCGCAAAUUACCCAAUUCUAACAGCAUAAGAGAGGUAGUGACAAGAAAUAACAGUACAAGGCAGUUAAAAUGCUUUGUAAUUGGAAUGAUAGAAAUUUAAAUACUUUUUAAAGUAUCAAUUGGAGGGCAAGUCUGGUGCCAGCAGCCGCGGUAAUUCCAGCUCCAAUAGCGUAUAUUAAAAUUGUUGCAGUUAAAAAGCUCGUAGUUGAAUUUUUGCUAAAAAUAACCGGUCUGCUUUUAUUAAUAAAAGUGGUAUCUUGGUGUGUUUUUAGCAAUAAUGUCCUUUGAAAUGUUUUUUACUUUAUUGUAAAAAGCAAUUUUCAGGAUUUUUACUUUGAGAAAAUUAGAGUGUUUCAAGCAGGCUAACGUUUUGAAUACUGCAGCAUGGAAUAAUAAAAU